AGAGGGUAUAUACAGUAGGUCAUGGAGGGACAGAGGGUAGGAGGAGAGAUGAUGUAGAGGGUAUAUACAGUAGGUCAUAGAGGGUAGGGGGAGAGAUGAUGUAGAGGGUAUAUACAGUAGGUCAUGGAGGGACAGAGGGUAGGAGGAGAGAUGAUGUAGAGGGUAUAUACAGUAGGUCAUAGAGGGUAGGAGGAGAGAUGAUGUAGAGGGUAUAUACAGUAGGUCAUGGAGGGACAGAGGGUAGGAGGAGAGAUGAUGUAGAGGGUAUAUACAGUAGGUCAUAGAGGGUAGGAGGAGAGAUGAUGUAGAGGGUAUAUACAGUAGGUCAUGGAGGGACAGAGGGUAGGAGGAGAGAUGAUGUAGAGGGUAUAUACAGUAGGUCAUGGAGGGACAGAGGGUAGGAGGAGAGAUGAUGUAGAGGGUAUAUACAGUAGGUCAUAGAGGGUAGGAGGAGAGAUGAUGUAGAGGGUAUAUACAGUAGGUCAUGGAGGGACAGAGGGUAGGAGGAGAGAUGAUGUAGAGGGUAUAUACAGUAGGUCAUGGAGGGACAGAGGGUAGGAGGAGAGAUGAUGUAGAGGAGGGUAUAUACAGUAGGUCAUGGAGGGACAGAGGGUAGGAGGAGAGAUGAUGUAGAGGAGGGUAUAUACAGUAGGUCAUGGAGGGACAGAGGGUAGGAGGAGAGAUGAUGUAGAAGGUAUAUACAGUAGGUCGUAGAGGGACAGAGGGUAGGAGGAGAGAUGAUGUAGAGAUGAUGUAGAGGAGGGUAUAUACAGUAGGUCAUGGAGGGACAGAGGGUAGGAGGAGAGAUGAUGUAGAGGGUAUAUACAGUAGGUCAUGGAGGGACAGAGGGUAGGAGGAGAGAUGAUGUAGAGGGUAUAUACAGUAG
rnacentral:lncRNA from 1 species